CUCCGCCCCCUCGGCUAGGCCACGCCCUCUCGAACAAUCCCUGCGUCACGAAUCCUGCUCAGGGGAAAAGGCGGAAAAAUCACAGUCCAUAAAAGUACUUGGAGGGGGGUGGGAAGGGAGCUAUGGUUGUAAUUCCCUGUUUUGGACUUCAAGAGCAAUUCUGGGAUCCUCACAACCUCUGAGGAUGCCUGUCAUAGAUGUGGGCGAAACGUCAGGAGAUAAUGCUUCUGGAACAUGGCCAUAUAGCCCGGAAAACACAACAACCCUGUGAUUCCGCUCAUGAAAGCCAUCGAUAGUUCUGAGAUUUUUAUAGACCUGAAGUACUCAUAAGCUACUGCACUUUACCCUGGUCCAUUUCAUCAGUGUUCUUCUAGUUGGAAGGUGCUGAACAGACUGCGCUUGGCACCACGAGAUGCAGAGCCAACCUUAAGAAAUGGGGCCACAAAGUGGAGUCCACCACAGACCACCUACUACAAUGCAGUCUGAGCCCUGCCACAGGCACAGUGGAGGACCUUCUUACGACACCAGAGGCAUUCCAAGUGGCCAGCUACUGGACAAAGAACAUUUAGUAUAAUACCAAGUUGUUGUUUUUUUUAAAACUUAAUUUGUGUUUUCAGAUACAUUACAACUUGUACCCUCGGUUCGCUUCUGACACGAUAAAUAAAUAAAUGCUAGUUAUUGCACAUUUAUAAUUUU